CCCUGACAGCAGCCCUCGCAAGCGCCGGGUCCCACAGGAAGCUCAUCACAAGGACUGAAGCAAAAGCCAGGCCAGGACCAACUACCAUCCCUGAGGGGAAGGGGCCUUGGACCUGCCUGCUUGUGAACGCCUCAGGGAAGAGCUGUCCCCCUCCUCCUUCCUGCGAAGUUCCCAGGCACCUCACCGUCCAAAUCCACCAACACCAAAAUGCAGUGACAAGUGAGCUUCUGGAGCAAGGACUUCCCCAGGGAGGAUGGGCUGUGAGUCGCAUUGUCCUGAAACCUUCUGGAAGCACACGGAUUAUAAAUAGCAUGAUUGGUGGCCUGCAUUUUUCUCCAUAAACUC
rnacentral:lncRNA from 1 species